rnacentral:lncRNA from 1 species
UUGUUUAUUGGGGUGAACGUUACAGCUUUUAAGGCUUUCAGGUAGGGGGAGUGACCUUUGUGAAAUAUGAAGGAGGGGGAGAUGAGGGUAUAGGCAGUGAUAGCUGGAGGCAAAGAAGUCAGGCGAUGAGGUCAGGUGGUGGAGACACUGGGUGUUGACUGAGGAGAUCACUGGUAUCUGCUCGAGCUGAGGCAUCCCUUGAAUGUUAUACUCCUGUGCCGUAAAUUCAUGGGAGAGGCUUUAUCCAACAAUCUUAAGACUUAAUGCAGUCAUCUUAGGGGUGAGUCUCUGUGGCCAAACAGCCCAGAGUCACUUUGAACCAUGCAGUCAAAAAGCGGCUAGGCCCAAAUCCAAUAUGGCUCCGUGCACACGUCCUCAGGUUCGCAGCUUAUUUGGGAGACAGAGCACCAGGAC